AGUUAGCUUUUUUUCUAGUUUCGACCUAGUUUUUGAUUGGCUAAGUU
rnacentral:tRNA from 1 species